rnacentral:lncRNA from 1 species
AUUCAACAAACGCAUUGUCAACAGUCAACCAAAAGAAACCCAUUGGCCACCAUACCCUGAGGACUAACCCUGACACAGAUGCCCUUCCAGAUGCCCUCAAUAGUCUAACUGAUUCCAUCGCCCCAGCCUUGGGGGAGAAGCACUGCUGCCUAUGCACUCCAUUUACAGGUGAGACUGGGAGAGGUUUAGGGAGUGGCCAAGUCCCCUGCCUACACAGCUGCCUCCCAAUCUAUCUUCUCACCCUCCCCCUUCUCAGGCUAAAAUCACACUCGAUGUUUUUAUGGGAUCAUUUGAUCUGGACAUUGUCAAAGAAAAAAUUGCACCAGACAAGUUAAACCUUCAAGGAAGGACUCAGUCAGGACUACUGCAAUACGGAAGAGAGGAGCUUAACUUCAUUGAAACAAAAGGCUGGGGAGUUUUUAAGUGCCGGGGUGAGAUGCUGAGAAGGAACUGGAGACAUCAGGAAGAGAAAAACGUUGACCUCUUGGCGAGAAUGCAAAGAAGGGAACGCUUGCUUAUACGCUGUUGGUGAACUGUCACCCCUACAACUCAGCUUGCAACCAGCCCUGGCCACCAGUUUCCCCACACUGAGCUGAAUAUCGGACAUGCCCAUCUCAGACAUUCCAGCCCAUUCUGAAAUUCCACAUCGAUUCACCUGACAAAGUCUGAAGUUCCAGGGCAAUUUAUCUGGAAAAGCUUACCUGGAAUCACGUGUCAUUUCAACCAACAACUGUUGAAGAGGACGUGGCAUUAAAACCAAGGGUAUCAAUUAU